rnacentral:rRNA from 1 species
GACGAACGCUGGCGGCGCGCCUAACACAUGCAAGUCGAACGAGAGAUGAGGAGCUUGCUCUUCAAAUCGAGUGGCGAACGGGUGAGUAACGCGUGAGGAACCUGCCUCAAAGAGGGGGACAACAGUUGGAAACGACUGCUAAUACCGCAUAAGCCCACAGCUCGGCAUCGAGCAGAGGGAAAAGGAGCGAUCCGCUUUGAGAUGGCCUCGCGUCCGAUUAGCUGGUUGGUGAGGUAACGGCCCACCAAGGCGACGAUCGGUAGCCGGACUGAGAGGUUGAACGGCCACAUUGGGACUGAGACACGGCCCAGACUCCUACGGGAGGCAGCAGUGGGGAAUAUUGCACAAUGGGGGAAACCUUGAUGCAGCGACGCCGCGUGGAGGAAGAAGGUCUUCGGAUUGUAAACUCCUGUUGUUGAGGAAGAUAAUGACGGUACUCAACAAGGAAGUGACGGCUAACUACGUG